AACGUAGGAGACAAACGUUAUCCGGAGUUACUGGGCGUAAAGGGCGUGUAGGUGGUUUCGUAAGUCUGGCGUGAAAUUUCUCGGCUUAACCGAGGCAGGUCGUCGGAUACUGCGGGACUAGAGGACGGUAGAGGCGUGUGGAAUUCCGGGUGUAGUGGUGAAAUGCGUAGAGAUCCGGAGGAACACCAGCGGCGAAGGCGACACGCUGGGCCGUACCUGACACUGAACCGCGACAGCAUGGGGAGCAAACAGG
rnacentral:rRNA from 1 species